UAUAUAUAUAUAUAUAUAUAUAUAUAUAUAUAUAUAUAUAUAUAUAUAUAUAUAUAUAUAUAUAUAUAUAUAUAUAUAUAGUGAUGGGUUAGAAUGGAUGCACACUGCAGCAUCAAGGAACCGAGGUCCUUCCUAGUUUGCUACAUGACAAAAUGGUCUCCAAUGAAAAUGUGGUGCACUUAACUUUUUUUAUACUAAACCUUAAGUAUAAAACAAAAUUUAGAAUAAAAGCUAUUUUGAAUUUUGACAA